GACGUAACUUUUCCUUCGCCCAAAUCUCUCCGUUACCCGGGGCAACGGCUGAGCCGACUGGGGAGGGACGCUUCUGUUAGGCAGGACCCAGGAGGGGCAAUACAUGACCAGAUUCCCGUAUUACGGGAGUUAAUUCAUACUCAAGGCUACCCGUUUGUUUUCCUGGCCGUUAUUUUGCAGAGAAGACCUGGGUGGACAACAGAUUCGGGCUCCCAAAAUCCCUCUUCUGUCCGGAAGUUGCAUUUGGCACUUCCGAACAGGGUCGCGCAGAGGGAUGAGAAUAGUCUCCGCCGCCCGCGCCCCAGGUAGAGCCUGUUCUCGAGCGGAGCGGCAGCGCGAGGAGAACAUCCUAUGGGCAACAUGGCAGAUGUGAAACCAGUGUUCCGGGAGGUUCUUCCAAAACAAGGGCAAUUAUCGGUGGAAGCUGUAACCACAAUGGUGCUGUGUAAACCCAAACUUUUACCCUUAAAAUCUCUGACUCUGGAAAAACUGGAGAAAAUGCAGCAAGCAGCACAAGAGACCAUUCGCCAACAGAAAA